AAGUCGUAACAAGGUCUCCGUUGGUGAACCAGCGGAGGGAUCAUUACAGAGUUGCAAAACUCCCUAAACCAUCGUGAACGUUACCCCACAAUCGUUGCUUCGGCGGGCGGCGCCUCACCCGGCGCCCCCUGCCAGGGGCCCUAACGGGCGUCCGCCGGAGGCCUAUAACCCUUGUAUUAUUUUACGGCUUCUCUGAGUUUAUACUUGAAUAAGUCAAAACUUUCAACAACGGAUCUCUUGGUUCUG
rnacentral:misc_RNA from 1 species